GAGAGUUAAACAGUACGUGAAAUUGUUGAAAGGGAAACGAUUGAAGCCAGUCGUACCUAUGGGUAAUCAGCCUUUUGGGUGUGAUUUUGUGGAGCGUGAAGAGUUAAACGCCUUCAUGCCUGCAUAUUCGUGCACUUUGGGUGUACUUGCCCGUGUGUAAGUUAACAUCAAUUUUGGUGGUCAUAAAAUGGCUGGAGGAAUGUAGCUUCGAUCUUGUAUUGAAGUGUUAUAGCCUUCGGUAGAUGUGACGAUCGGGAUUGAGGAUUGCAACGGAUACCCUUCGGGGCUACCUGUCUGAUCUCUGAUUGUUGCUCUGGUGCCGAAAGCUUGCUUACGGUUAUCAAAGUCGAUGGUCAAUAGGUUAGAAUGGGUUAAAUUCGUUAAGGAUGUUGACGUAAUGGCUUUAAACGA
rnacentral:rRNA from 1 species